UACCCGCAACGGGACGGAAAGACCCCGUGAACCUUUACUAUAGCUUCACAGUGGACUUUGAGCCUGCUUGUGUAGGAUAGCUGGGAGACAUUGAAGCGGUGACGCUAGUCAUCGUGGAGUCGUCCUUGAAAUACCAGCCUGGCAUGUUCGAGGUUCUAACCCAGGUCCCUUAUCGGGAUCGGGGACAUUGUGUGGUGGGUAGUUUGACUGGGGCGGUCUCCUCCCAAAGAGUAACGGAGGAGCACAAAGGUACCCUCAGCACGGUCGGACAUCGUGCAUUGAGCGUAAAGGUAGAAGGGUGCUUGACUGCGAGACCCACAAGUCGAGCAGGUGCGAAAGCAGGUCUUAGUGAUCCGGUGGUUCUGUAUGGAAGGGCCAUCGCUCAACGGAUAAAAGGUACUCCGGGGAUAACAGGCUGAUACCGCCCAAGAGUUCACAUCGACGGCGGUGUUUGGCACCUCGAUGUCGGCUC
rnacentral:rRNA from 1 species